AUCUCUUAUAUACUAAAGCACAAGUCACCUUUCCAAUUAAAUUUUGACACAUUGAAAAACAUUUCAAUUUUUUUAAAAAAAAAUCAGUUAAGCAAGAUAAUGAUCUAAAAAAUAAUAGCGUAUAACAAUUUUUCAAACACAAUCUACAACCCACGAUCUUUAUCAUUUCCCACUAUCUUUUGCUUUUCUAUAUUUUUCUAUAUUUUUAGAUUGGAUAAACAAAUAUCAGAGGAACUUCUCAUCUAUCUAAAACAGAGUAUGAAAGAUCUAUGAUCUUAAUGCAAAUUUGGGGUCGUAUGGAAUGUCCCGAGCCCGUGCUGAAAUUGAUCUGUAAGAAACAAAUAUCAAUAAAGCAUAUUUGAUAUUUCUCAGUGGAGCUAUCUUGUUUGGCAAAACAUCCUUCAACGAACCGGUUUACAGUUAGAAAGGUUCAAGAAAGAGUGGAUAUGGUGAAUCUGAAUUGGAGGAGACUUGACUCCAACAAAGACUUUAGGAAAAAAAGAAAGAAAGAGGACGAAAAUAGAAAGCAUACACAAAUGCAGAUGAAGACGUGGAACAUCUUUGAUAAAAGGUUUAAUGUUUCAGUCAGAUAUUAAGUAAUCAAUAGCGAGAGGGACACAAAGAGUUGAAGAUGACAAUGCCACAUAAAAGCUGAUUAAAUUUUAGGAUACACACAAAUAAAUAUUAGCAGGUAGACGUUUAUAUUACUGCAAUCUUUCCAAUACACAAUGUUUUCUUUUAGAUGUUUGAAAUAUUAAUACACAACACAAUGAUCAGAAUUUAUUUUUCAACUCUAUUGUAUUCUCUUAACUACCAUGAAUAAUAGGAAGAUCAAUGAUUUUAUAUAUUCUGUAAGGCAAUGUUUUGAAGCUUUUGUUCUUGAUGUACACAUCUCUUUCUUAUAAAUCGAAGUUAUUUUAUACA